GUUUCUCUCCUUAAUUCCUCACACGUGACCCUUUUCCCCAAUGUCCCCUCUCCAUCGCCAAUGCCCACCGCCUCCUCGCACUCCGCCGCAGGGCGUCGACACCGACGACCACGAAGGGUCGGACACCUCUGGUGUAGCCUCCAUGGCUACCAGCACCGGACGCGGCCACGACGGGUGCGGAGGCCAGCCCCUCUCCCGAUCUCCUCGCGCCAAGCAACACCGAUGUUAUGCCCUAGCUCUCGAUCCACUGCCGGCCAAUCUAUCUCUCUUCCCGAUCCAUGAUCACCGUGGCCUCCUCAUACCAGAGCAGCAUCAUCGACUCAUGGUGCCGAGCCUAGCCUGAUAGCAUCGCUGUCCUCCAUUGCUCAGAGUCGGCGCCAUCCAUUUGACCUAGCGCCGCCGCUGUUUAGAGCUGCUGGUGUCAGUGUAACCAUCAUCCAGCCAUGCCUCCCCGUGUCUUGCUUCCCUUCUAUUCUCCCGAACUAGCCGCCGCUGUGAGCCACUGCUGGGCAGUGUAGAUCCACUGAGAAGAGGCCAAAGGGUAAUUCUGAUUUUGAUUUCUAGGGUUGUGUAAACCUGAUUGCUUCACUUAAUGGAGUGGAAUUUGGAUUAACCUUUGGAUGUAAUUUAUUGAUUGUUAUGUUGAGGAUAUCAAUAGAUUUAAGCCUUGCUAAGACAUAGGCAUCCAUCACUAGCAGGGCACCAAGGUGUGGUCGCUACUGUUCCAGUAGGACCAAGAGUUUGAUUAAGGUUUGCCUCUCAAUCAUGGAAUUCAAUGAUAUUUUUUCUCUCCAUAGAAAGAAGACUACAUUUGAGCAUGAGCCUAGCUUUUAUCAGUAAGUGAAGACUACUAUUAGAUGCAUAUGGAACAAUCCUAUGUACUUUUCUCAUUUGGUGACAGGUACUUAGAUUUUUGUGAAUCAAUAUAAUGGUUGAAGAUGAUCCAUCUAACUGAAUUUUUAUUUUACAAGACUUUGUUAGUUUUAAAA